rnacentral:rRNA from 1 species
GAUGAACGCUGGCGGCGUGCUUAACACAUGCAAGUCGAACGGUCCUGUUUUUGAAGCGCUUCGGCGUGGAGGGGACGGGGCAGUGGCGCACGGGUGAGUAAUGCGCGAGGACCUGCCCGCAGGAGGGGGACAGCAGUUGGAAACGGCUGGUGAUACCCCGUAGGCCGGGAGGUGAAAGGGCGGAGACGCCCGCCUGCGGAUGGACUCGCGUCCUAUCAGCUAGUUGGUGAGGCAACGGCUCACCAAGGCGACGACGGGUAGCCGGCCUGAGAGGGUGUCCGGCCACACUGGAACUGAGACACGGACCAGACUCCUACGGGAGGCAGCAGUGAGGAAUAUUGGUCAAUGGACGAAAGUCUGAACCAGCCAUGCCGCGUGGAGGAUGAAGGUCCUCUGGAUUGUAAACUUCUUUUAUAUGGGACGAAAAAGGGUUUUCUAACUCGUCUGACGGUACCAUAUGAAUAAGCACCGGCUAACUCCGUG